AUGGUUCACAAAAACCAAGGGGUUUGUGCGAGCCGCAUUGCAAAUGGCCAGAGGAAAACCUGGUGCCCCUGUUUACGGUGCGGCAAUUGGGAAAAGAGGACAGAGGCUGAAAUGGGCAAACACCUGCAGAAGAGUGGUUUUACGCCCGAUUAUACGGUGUGGACAUUUCAUGGUGAGUCUGCCCAACGUGACCGAGCUGAGGUGGAUCGUCGUCGCACCGACGAGCAUGGUACCGGGAUGGAAAACAUGGUGCAAGACUUCGAUGAUGCUCGGGAUUCAGACGAGGAGAUGGAGGAAUCUGCAAAGGCCUUCAAUGAAAUGUUGGAGUCUUCAAAACGUCCGCUCCAUGAGCACACUGAGCUUUGUCAGUUGGAUGCCAUCUCACAAGUAAUGGCUCUGAAGGCU
rnacentral:rRNA from 1 species